rnacentral:rRNA from 1 species
CUACGGGGGGCUGCAGUGGGGAAUAUUGCACAAUGGAGGAAACUCUGAUGCAGCAACGCCGCGUGGAGGAUGACACUUUUCGGAGCGUAAACUCCUUUUAUAUAGGAAGAAGAUGACGGUACUAUAUGAAUAAGCGCCGGCUAACUCCGGGCCAGCAGCCGCGGUAAUACGGAGGGCGCAAGCGUUACUCGGAAUCACUGGGCGUAAAGAGCGUGUAGGCGGAUUAAAAAGUCAGAAGUGAAAUCCUAUAGCUUAACUAUAGAACUGCUUCUGAAACUCUUAAUCUAGAAUGUGGGAGAGGUAGAUGGAAUUUCUGGUGUAGGGGUAAAAUCCGUAGAGAUCAGAAGGAAUACCGAUUGCGAAGGCGAUCUACUAGAACAUUAUUGACGCUGAGACGCGAAAGCGUGGGGAGCAAACAGGAUUAGAUACCCGUGUAGUC